rnacentral:rRNA from 1 species
UACGGAGGAUGCGAGCGUUAUCCGGAUUUAUUGGGUUUAAAGGGUGUGUAGGCGGGACCAUAAGUCAGCGGUGAAAGUUUUCGGCUCAACCGGAAAAUUGCCGUUGAAACUAUGGUUCUUGAGUGCAGAAGAGGUAGGCGUAAUUCGUUGUGUAGCGGUGAAAUGCGUAGAUAUCACGAGGAACUCCGAUUGCGCAGGCAGCUUACUAAACUACUACUGACGCUCAGGCACGAAGGCGUGGGGAUCAAACAGGAUUAGAUACCCUGGUAGUCCCU